CUCAAAGUUUCUCCCUCAAAGGGAGUUAUACGUUUCGGAAAGAGGGGCAAGUUACGACCCCGUUUUAUAGGACCUUUUGAGAUCCUAGAUAAGAUAGGCCCUGUAGCCUAUAGGUUGGCAUUGCCACCCAGUAUUGGAGACGUACACAAUGUGUUUCAUGUCUCUCAGUUAAGAAAGUAUGUGUUUGAUCCAAAACAUGUGAUUAAGCAUGAUGAAGUGGUCCUAGCCCAGGACUUAAGUUAUGAAGAGAAACCAGUCCAGAUACUUGAUCGCAAGGUUCAAGUUUUACGUAACAAGAACAUCGUUCUUGUUAAAGUGAAGUGGAACCAUCACGGGAUGGAAGAGGCCACAUGGGAACUUGAAGAUUCAAUGAAAGUCAAGUAUCCCCAGUUAGAUUAUCAAGGUAUGUAAUUUCGGGGACGAAAUUUUUUUUAAGGAGGGAGGAAUGUAAUACCCCGUUCCUUUUUGCUAAGUUUAGAAUAUUUUUUCGAAUUUAGAAGUAAGAUGAUUCACGCCGGAUAUAAAGAAAAUGAAUUUAUUUUUAAUUCCAACAAAAAUGAUUUACAAAAACAUUUGUAAAUUUAGUUAUUGAAUUUAUAUGCAUUGCAUAUUUAUUUAAUUUAGUAUUUAAGUAUUUUCACGAGCUAUUUAUUUAACGAACCCUGAAGUAUUUAUUACAGUCCCGAUAUUUUAUCUAUGUUCCUAAUAACCACCUUAUAUCAUGAUUAUUUAUAGCAUACAUGUAUUUAUGCAGACUAAUAAAAUCCUCCCAUAUCUCAUCCUCAAUCCACUACUCAUCAAUGGUGCUACACUACUCACCAAUUCACUACUUCCACCACCAACGUUAACAUCACUACCCACUCACACUUUCCACUCUCCCCACUCACACUUCACACCAUACUUUGCCCCCCACCAAAAUAAACUUUAGCCAUAAUACUCAUUCCCUUCCACUCACCAUUUCUCCUACAUACCAAGGAACUAAGUGCAGAGCUACACCCACACAAGUUCAGCUAUACCACACGGACAUCCCUAUCACUUCACUCAUUCUGAAAAUUUUCAUUUGCUCACCAAGAUCAUUUCGACAGAAUCCAGCACACAACAAACAAACAGGAUCAACACUCACUGAAAUUUCUCACAAGGCUUUGAGCAUCAGGAGGACUAGCACUGCUAUUCCGAUUCAGAGAUAAGGUUAAACGACAGGCUUUGCCUAUACAGGUGGGCUUAUUUUUCAAAUGUAUGAUUUAGCUAUUGAGCUUAAAUAUUCGUGUAAUAUAAACUGUUUAUCCAAUAAAAUAUUUUUGUGCACUCUACCAUGUUUAAGGCUCGUACAGUUAAUCAAAUGAGGUUCUCUUAUGACCUAACACGUUGUUUGAGAAUUGUGUACACUUGUUAGCUGACUCGGUGGGUUGAUCUCCAUCGGGCACUAACCAGAGGCGUUAUAAGGGUGCUCGACUGGAUGUGUUCCGGAGCAUAGUUAUGAUAGGCCUGUCUGGAUUAAUUUCCGAGGUUUAUUUUACUUGACUGGGUUACGCCCUCAGUUCAAGUCAGCGGGAGACAGAGAUCCGUCGGUGGCUAGAGGUCCGGGAUCACAGCGAGUAACAGAAUGGAGUGUGCAAACGCGCGCAAAAUAAUUAAGUAUAUAUAUAUGAAAAUGUUUUAACAUGCAUAGAAGUUAUUUCUCUUUAAAACCUUCUAUGUCAUGUCAGUAAGAUUGGAUAAACUGUUCUUCAGAUUAUGAAAUGCUUUAAAAGUUGCAGCCCACUAAGUACAUUAGUACUUAGCCCAAAAUUUCUUUCAAAUGUUUUCAGGUUAAUGGCUGGUGAUGACGGGGCAGAGCUGAGGCUAGGGUUCAACUCCGUAUUUUGUCUUCCGCUAUUGCACUAGCAUUUAUUUGUCUUUUGUUUCUCCAACUUAAGACUUUUAUGUUAAAUUCUGAAUUAUGUUUUUAUCGAGCUUAAACUCUCAACUUCUAGCUCUAUGUUAUUUAACGUUGGUUAUCGGAAGCAUGAAACCGAACUUGUGAUCCUAAGGCUUUGAAUGUUGUUGAUUGAUUAGUAUCACUUGAUUUC